AUAUAUUUAAGACUUAUUUUUGUUUAAAGGCUAAGUAGGUUUAUUAGGAAUGCUUUUAUGAAUGAUAUUAUAUUUUUAAUGUAAAUGGGUGUUUUUUAUAUUGAUAAAGAAUUUUUUGUUAUUUUACCUUUUGUAUCAGGGUUGAUCUAAUAUGGAGUUUAGAUAAGUUUUUCUCGAAUUGGCAUGAUUUAUUGUGAUAUGUUUUUUAAUGUGGCAUAAUUAUUUUUAAUAUUGCGGUAGUGGUGAUAUGCCAUUCGUUUGUUAAGAUAUCUAGUUUCCUAAGAUAAAAUUUAAUUUUAUGGAGGCUUUGAUUUUAGUUUUUUUUAUUAAUUUCUUGUUCUUUUUAUAUUUCUUAAGGGUUAAGCUUUAGGGUUACUUAAAAUUUUGUUUAGGGGUAAGAGGGGUUUAUUAUAUAGGCUUGGAAUUAGCCAUUAUUGAGAGUGUGUUUUAGUUCAGUUGCUUUGUUUAUUAUUUAUUUUUGAUUUAAGUGUUUUAUUAGGGUAAAGACUUUAAUUUUUUUUGUCUUUUAAUAAUGAUUGAAUUAGUAUAUAUAUGUGUAUUGUUCAUAAUUUACGUUAGUUGAAUUUAUAUAAAGUAAUUAGGCAAUUUUUUAAUGUUUCCGACUGUUUAUCAAAAACAUUUUCUAUAGUUAUUUAUUUUAGAUAAGGCCUGCUCACUGAGUUAUUAAAGAGCCGCGGUAUUUUGACUGUGCAAAGGUAGCAUAAUCAUUAGUAUAUUAAUUGUGUACUGGGAUGAAAGGUUAAACGAGAAAUGUUCUGUCUCUAUUUAAUGUGUAGAAUUUUAUUUUUUAGUGAAAAAGCUGAGAUUUGUUUUUUGGACGAUAAGACCCUAUAGAGUUUUACUUUGCUUUAUUAGAUGUUUUGGGCUAUAUUUUAUUUAUUUUUUAAUUAUGAGGUUAGUUGGGGUGACUUGAGUAAUAUUUAAACUAUUCAUUUUUUUAUAUUCAUUGAUUUAUGUUUAUAUUGAUCUUGUAUUAUUGAUUUUAAGAUUUAAUUACCUUAGGGAUAACAGCGCAAUUAUUUUUGAGAGUUCUUAUUGACGAAAUAGAUUGUGACCUCGAUGUUGGAUUAAGGUUUAUUAGUAGGUGCAGGCGUUUACUUAAUUGGUCUGUUCGACCAUUAAAAUCUUACAUGAUCUGAGUUCAGACCGGCGUGAGCCAGGUUGGUUUCUAUCCAAAAAUUUUUUUUAGUUUCUAGUACGAAAGGACCGUUAUUUGUAAUUAUUUUAUUUAUUUUGAGUUUUAUUA
rnacentral:rRNA from 1 species